rnacentral:rRNA from 1 species
GAUGAACGCUGGCGGCGUGCCUAAUACAUGCAAGUCGAGCGAACAGACGAGGAGCUUGCUCCUCUGACGUUAGCUGCGGACGGGUGAGUAACACGUGGAUAACCUACCUAUAAGACUGGGAUAACUUCGGGAAACCGGAGCUAAUACCGGAUAAUAUAUUGAACCGCAUGGUUCAAUAGUGAAAGACGGUUUUGCUGUCACUUAUAGAUGGAUCCGCGCCGCAUUAGCUAGUUGGUAAGGUAACGGCUUACCAAGGCAACGAUGCGUAGCCGACCUGAGAGGGUGAUCGGCCACACUGGAACUGAGACACGGUCCAGACUCCUACGGGAGGCAGCAGUAGGGAAUCUUCCGCAAUGGGCGAAAGCCUGACGGAGCAACGCCGCGUGAGUGAUGAAGGUCUUCGAAUCGUAAAACUCUGUUAUUAGGGAAGAACAAAUGUGUAAGUAACUAUGCACGUCUUGACGGUACCUAAUCAGAAAGCCACGGCUAACUACGUG